rnacentral:rRNA from 1 species
GAUGAACGCUGGCGGCGUGCCUAAUACAUGCAAGUAGAACGCUGGAGGAGGAGCUUGCUCUUCUGUAUGAGUUGCGAACGGGUGAGUAACGCGUAGGUCACCUGCCUGGUAGCGGGGGAUAACUAUUGGAAACGAUAGCUAAUACCGCAUUACAACAGUUAUUGCAUGAUAACUUUUUAAAAUGGGCAACUGCUCCACUACCAGAUGGACCUGCGUUGUAUUAGCUAGUUGGUGAGGUAACGGCUCACCAAGGCGACGAUACAUAGCCGACCUGAGAAGGUGAUCGAGCAAAACUGGAAUGAGAAACGGGCCAGAAUCCUAAGGGAGGGAGCAGUAGGGAAACAUCGGAAAAGGACGGAAGUCUGAACGAGCAACGGCGGGGGAGGGAAGGAGGUUUUCGGAUCGUAAAGCUCUGUUGUAAGAGAAGAAAGAGUGGGAGAGUGGAAAGUUCACACUGUGACGGUAUCUUAACAGAAAGGGACGGCUAACUACGUG